ACGAACGCUGGCGGCGUGCCUAAUACAUGCAAGUCGAACGGUCUUUCUAUGGAAGUUUGCUUCCACUGAGAAGAUAGUGGCGAACGGGUGAGUAACACGUGGGUAACCUGCCCAUAAGAGGGGGAUAACAUCCGGAAACGGGUGCUAAUACCGCAUAGUUUUCUUGAUCGCAUGAUCGGGAAAGGAAAGACGGCCUUUGUGCUGUCGCUUAUGGAUGGACCCGCGGCGUAUUAGUUAGUUGGUGAGGUAAUGGCUCACCAAGACGAUGAUACGUAGCCGACCUGAGAGGGUGAUCGGCCACAUUGGGACUGAGACACGGCCCAAACUCCUACGGGAGGCAGCAGUAGGGAAUCUUCCGCAAUGGACGAAAGUCUGACGGAGCAACGCCGCGUGAGUGAAGAAAAGGUUUUCGGAUCGUAAAACUCUGUUGUCAGAGAAGAACAAGUUGGAGAGUAACUGCUCCAGCCUUGACGGUAUCUGACCAGAAAGCCACGGCUAACUACGUGCCAGCAGCGGC
rnacentral:rRNA from 1 species